GUAGUCGAAAAUGUUGUCUCUCUUGAGUGGAUCCUGAGUACGACGGAGCACGUGAAAUUCCGUCGGAAUCUGGGAGGACCAUCUCCUAAGGCUAAAUACUCUCUAGUGACCGAUAGUGAACCAGUACCGUGAGGGAAAGGUGAAAAGCACCCCGGAAGGGGAGUGAAAUAGAACCUGAAACCGUGUGCUUACAAGUAGUCAGAGCCCGUUAAUGGGUGAUGGCGUGCCUUUUGUAGAAUGAACCGGCGAGUUACGAUUUGAUGCAAGGUUAAGCAGUAAAUGUGGAGCCGUAGCGAAAGCGAGUCUGAAUAGGGCGUUUAGUAUUUGGUCGUAGACCCGAAACCAGGUGAUCUACCCUUGGUCAGGUUGAAGUUCAGGUAACACUGAAUGGAGGACCGAACCGACUUACGUUGAAAAGUGAGCGGAUGAACUGAGGGUAGCGGAGAAAUUCCAAUCGAACCUGGAGAUAGCUGGUUCUCUCCGAAAUAGCUUUAGGGCUAGCCUCAAGUGAUGAUUAUUGGAGGUAGAGCACUGUUUGGACGAGGGGCCCCUCUCGGGUUACCGAAUUCAGACAAACUCCGAAUGCCAAUUAAUUUAACUUGGGAGUCAGAACAUGGGUGAUAAGGUCCGUGUUCGAAAGGGAAACAGCCCAGACCACCAGCUAAGGUCCCAAAAUAUAUGUUAAGUGGAAAAGGAUGUGGCGUUGCCCAGACAACUAGGAUGUUGGCUUAGAAGCAGCCAUCAUUUAAAGAGUGCGUAAUAGCUCACUAGUCGAGUGACACUGCGCCGAAAAUGUACCGGGGCUAAACAUAUUACCGAAGCUGUGGAUUGUCCUUUGGACAAUGGUAGGAGAGCGUUCUAAGGGCGUUGAAGCAUGAUCGUAA
rnacentral:rRNA from 1 species